GUAAAAAUAUAGUAAAGGCAGCAGAUCAACUACCUGUGAAGAUAAUAGGAAGGGUAAAAGACAAAUGUACUAAAAUCACCUAUUUCAAUGAUAAGAAGGUAAUGGAUAGACACACACUAACCAAAAGACUACAUAUGAUGUGAAAAUAAUACAAUGUGGGAGGAGGGCAGUGAAAAAGUAGAGCUUUUAGAAAGAGGUCAAGGUAAAGAGUCUCUCUACUCAAUAUAGACUGUUAUAUGCAUAGUAUAUUAAAUACGAUCCUCAUGGUAACCACAAACCCAAAACCUAUAACAAGCAGGAAAAAAAAGUAAGACAAAAGAAAUCAAACAUAUUACUAAAGAUAGCCAUCAAACCACAAGGGAAGAGAGGAAGAGAAAAAGAAAGGAACAGAGAAGAACUACUAAAACACCCAGAAAAAAAAGUGACAAAAUGGCAAUAAAUACAUAUUUAUCAAUAGCUACUUUAAAUGUCAAUGGACUACAUGCUCCAAUCAAAUGCCACAGGGUGGCCAAUUGGAUAAAAAAACAAGACCCAUGUAUAUGCUGCAUACAAGAGACACACUUCGGAGCUAAAGACACUCACAAACUGAAAGUGAAAGGAUGGAAAAAGAUACUCCAUGCAAAUGGCAAAGAAAAGAAAGUGGGGUUAGCAAUACUUAUAUCAGACAAAAUAGACUUUAAGUCAAAAACUGUAAUAAGAGACAAAGACGGGCACUACAUAAUGAUAAAGGCAACAAUCCAGCAAGAAAAUAUGACACUUGUAAAUAUCAACGCACCCAACAUAGGAGCACCUAAAUAUGUAAAGCAAUUAUUAACAGACAUGAGAGGAGAAAUAGUAACACAAUAAUAGUAGGGGACUUUAACACUCCACUUACACCAAUGGGUAGAUCAUCCAAACAGAAGAUCAAUAAGGAAACACUCGCCUUAAAGGACACAUUAGACCAGAUGGACUUAGUAGAUAUAUACAGAACAUUCCAUCCAAAACCCACAGACUACACAUUCUUUUCAAAUGCACAUGGAACAUUCUCCAGGAUUGAUCACAUAUUAGGCCACAAAACAAGUCUCAACAAAUUUAAGAAGACCGAAAUAAUACCAUGCAUCUUUUCUAACCACAAAGGUAUGAAACUGGAAACCAACUACAGAAAGAAAACCAGAAAAGCCACAAAAAUGUGGAGACUGAACAAAAUGCUACUGAACAACGAUUGGGUCAAUGAAGAAAUCAAAGAAGAAAUCAAAAAAUUCCGGAGACAAAUGAAAAUAAAAACACGACAUGCCAAAAUCUGUGGGAUACAGCAAAAGCGGUUGUACAAGGUAAGUUUAUAGCAAUUCAGGCCUACCUCAACAAAGAGGAAAAAUCCCAAAUACGCUAUCUAAAAGUGCACCUAAAGGUACUGGAAAAAAGAGCAACAGACAAAGCACAAAAUCAGCAGAAGGAAGGAAAUAACACAAAUCAGAGCAGAAAUAAACCAAGUAGAGACUAAAAAAACAAUAGGAAAAAUUAACGAAACCAAGAGCUGGUUCUUCGAAAAGAUACACAAAAUUGACAAACCCUCAGCUAGACUCACCAAAAAAAAGGGAGAAGGCUCAAAUAAAUAAAAUCAGAAAUGAAAGAGGAGAAAUUACAACGGACACCUCAGAAAUACAAAAGAUGAUAAGAGAAUACUAUGAAAAGCUAUAGACCAACAAAUUGGAUAAUCUAGAAGAAAUGGAUAAAUUCUUAGAAACAUACAACCUUCCAAAACUGGACCAAGAAGAAGUAGAAAAUCUGAAUAGGACAAUCACCAGUAAGGAGAUCAAAACAGCAAUCAAAAACCUCCCAAAACAUAAAAGUCCAGGACCAGACGGCUUCCCUGGUGAAUUCUACCAAACAUUCAAAGAAGACUGAAUACCUAUCCUUCUCAAACGCUUCCAAAAUACUGAAGAGGAGGGGAGGCUUCCUACCUCCUUCUACGAAGCCAACAUUAUCCCGAUACCAAAACCAGACAAGGACAACACGAAAACAGAAAAUUAUAGGCCAAUAUCACUGAUGAACAUCGAUGCAAAAAUCCUCAACAAGAUACUAGCAAAUUGAAUACAACAAUACAUUAAAAAGAUCAUACAUCAUGAUCAAGUGGGUUUCAUUCCACGGAAGCAGGGAUGGUACAACAUCCGCAAGUCUAUCAACGUGAUACACCACAUUAACAGAAUGAAGAAUAAAAAUCACAUGAUCAUCUCAAUACACGCAGAGAAAGCAUUUGACAAGAUACAGCAUCCACCUAUGAUAAAAACUCUAAAUAAAAUGGGUAUAGAAGGAAAAUACCUCAACAUAAUAAAGGCCAUACAUGACAAACCCACAGCAAAGAUCAUUCUCAAUGGAGAAAAACUGAAAGCUAUCCCUCUAAGAACAGGAACCAGACAAGGAUGCCCACUGGCACCGCUCUUAUGUAACACAGUCUUGGAAGUCCUAGCCAGAGCAAUCAGGCAAGAAAAACAAAUAAAAGGGAUUCACACUGGAAUAGAAGAAGUGAAACUGUCACUCUUUGCAGACGACAUGAUUUUAUAUCUAGAAAACCCUAAAGAUUCCACUAAAAAGCUUUUAGAAAUAAUAAAGGAAUACAGUCAAGUCGUGGGAUACAAAAUCAACGUACAAAAAUCGGUUGCGUUUUCUACACACUAACAACGAAGUAGCAAAAAGAGAAAUUAAGAAUAAAAUCCCAUUUAUAAUUGCAACAAAGAGAAUAAAAUACCCAGGAAUAAACUUAACCAAAGAGGUGAAAGUUCUGUACACCGAAAACUAUAAAACACUGUUGAAAGAAAUCGAAGAAGAAACAAAGAAAUGGAAAGAUAUUCCGUGGUCUUGGAUUGGAAGAAUUAACAUAGUUAAAAUGUCCAUACUUCCUAAAGAAAUCUAUAGAUUCAACGCAAUCCCUAUCAAAAUUCCAACAACAUUUUUUACAGAAAUAGAACAAAGAAUCCUAAAAUUUAUAUGGAACAACAAAAGACCCCGAAUGGCCAAGGGAUUCCCGAGAAAAAAGAACAAACCUGGAGGGAUCACACUCCCUGAUUUCAAAUUAUACUACAAAGCCAUAGUAACCAAAACAGCACGGUACUAGCACAAAAACAGACACACAGAUCAACGGAACCGAAUCGAGAGCCCAGAAGUAAACCCACACGUUUAUGGACAGCUAAUAUUCGACAAGGGAGCCAAGAGCAUACGAUGGAGAAAGGAGAGUCUCUUCAAUAAACGGUGUUGGGAAAACUGGAUAGCCACAUGCAAAAGAAUGAAAUUGACCAUUCCCUUACACCAUGCACAAAAAUCAACUCAAAAUGGAUGAAAGACUUGAAUGUAAGACCCGAAAUCAUGAGACUUCUAGAAGAAAACACAGGCAGUACGCUCUAUGACAUCGGUGUGAGCAGCAUAUUUUCAAGUCCCAUGUCUGACCCGGCAAGCGAAACAAAAGAAAAAAUGAACAAAUGGGACUACAUCAAACUAAAAAGCUUCUGCACAGCAAAGGAAACCAGCAACAAAACAAAAAGACAACCUAACAAUUGGGAGAAGAUAUUUGCAAACCAUAUAUCAGAUAAGGGGUUAAUAUCCAAAAUAUACAAAGAACUCAUACAGCUCAACAACAAAAAAAACCAACAAUCCAAUUAGAAAAUGGGCAAAAGAUCUGAACAGAGAUUUCUCCAAAGAAGAUAUACGGAUGGCCAACAAGCAUAUGAAAAGAUGCUCAACAUCAUCAGCUAUCAGGGAAAUGCAAAUCAAAACUACAAUGAGGUAUCACCUCACUCCGGUCAGAAUGGCUAUAAUUAACAGGAAACAACAAGGGUUGGAGAGGAUGUGGAGAGAAGGGGACCCUUGUUCACUGCGUGGGAGUGCAAACUGCUGAAGCCACUAUGGAAAGCAGUAUGGAGUAUCCUCAGAAAAUUAAGCAUAGAUCUACCAUAUGAUCCAGCUAUUCCACCGCUGGGUACUUAUCCAAAGAACUUGAAAACACAAAGGCAUAAAGAUUCUUGCAACCCUAUGUUCAUUUCAGCAUUAUACACAAUAGCCAAGACAUGGACGCGACCUAGGUGCCCACCAAGGGACGAAUGGACAAAGAAGAUGUCGUAUUUGUACACGAUGGACUACUACUCAGCCAUAAGAAAUGACGAAAUCCGGCCAUUUGUGACAACAUGGAUGGACCUUGAGGGUAUUAUGCUGAGUGAAAUAAGUCAGAGGGAGAAAGUCAAAUACCAUAUGAUCUCAAUCAUAAGUAGAAGAUAAAAACAACGACCAAAAAAAACACACAUAGCAUUGGAGAUUGGAUUGGUGGCUACCAUCGGGGAAGGGGGGAGGGGCUAGGGCAAAAGGGGUGAUUAGGCUCACAUGUGAAGGGAUGGAGUAUAAUUAGUUUUCGGGUGGUGAACACGAUAUAAUGUAUACAGAAUUCAAAAUAUGAUGUACAUCCGAAAAAAACAAAAAAAUAAAAACAAAACAAAGUUAUCCCCUACUCUCUUCCAAACCUUUUGUCUAGUACGGUUGUAUGCAAGAGAGACUAAAGAAUUUUCACAGAAAAACAAGUUCUAUAACCUAACUACAAAGACACAUCAUGUUUAGGAACUGGUCAGGAUGAAAUCUCAAAUUUUAAAAAACUUCCAGGGGCCGGCCCCAUAGCAUAGCGGUUAAGUUCAGCACACUCCACUUCAGUGGCCCAGGUUGGCGGGUUCAGAUCCCGGGUGCGGACCUACACCACUCAUCAGCCAUGCUGUGGCAGCGACCCACAUAUAAAGUGUAGGAAGACUGGCACAGAUGUUAGCUCAGGGCUAAUCUUCCCCAAGCAAAAAAAAACCAAAAAAAAGAAAAAGAAAAGAAAAAGAGGAAGAUUGGCAACAGAUGUUAGCUCUGGGCUAAUCUUCCUCAGCCAAAAAAGAAAAAAGUCAAAAUGGGCUUACGUAACCUCCUGUCGCCUCUGUCUGUAUCAUUUAUCUAGUGAGCAGGCUGGAAAAGAUCAGUGUCUUGCCGGGGCAGCUGCAUUGAAUAGUUAUAUUGCCUAACAUCUUACAUGAAUUUUCCCACACAUCCAGAUGCAAUAGCCACAAAAGACAAGGCCAUUUUUAAAAGGUCCCCCUCUUUUCCCCUUUCACUGAAAGUUUACUCAACCCCUUAGCAGUAAACUGACACUCACAGGGUUACCAUUACAGCCUCCUGGGGGAGAUCCUGGAUGGAAUGCUGGGAGGGGCUGUAUCAGCAGCAGCAGCCACGCUGAAGCAAAGGCUGGAGUGUUUUUUGCCCUUCUUUGCCUCUAGUGUAUCUAUCGCUUUGCUCCAGCCCAAACCGAUUUAAUUUGUUUCCUCUCACUUGGAGGAGAGAGCAAGUCAAACUUUUCACAUUUCUGGCUGACCCAAAGGUCACCUUUGGGAACCUAUGGAUCCUUCUUCCACCUACUGGGAGGAAAGAACAAACACCAAAGUCAUGAACUGGCUGCGCUUCUUCCCCCUCACAUCACCCAGCACGGCAAAAGCAGCCAAGGGAUGCAGUGAGCUAACUCUCCUGAAAUUGGAUCUUUUAUUUGUAAAUUCUGUAAGUAACACUAACCUGUCGCAACAGACAGCAGCACAGCUGCUGUUUCAUAUCACGAGUACAUCCAUAGUCACCGAGGCACAAAAGGUUCACCAUCCUUGCCCCUUCAUCCUUCCUUUACUCCAACAAGGCUUUCGCCCUAUUUCAGGUGAAAGUCAGGGUCUUGCUAGUGGAUCCCAUGGCAGCCACUACUGUUUCGGAUGUCCCAAGACCACCCUUUCUUUGAUGGAUCCCCAGGAGGACUCAACUCAGUAUACAGUCACCCUCAUGGAAAAAGAUUUAUCACGGCAAAAGGACUCAAAGCCAAAUCAGCCAGGGGGAGGGGUACCCUGGGCACCACCUGGAGCAAACCAGGGCAAGCUUCCAAGAGUCCUUGCCCUGUAGAGUCUCACAAUCUGUCCCUUGAACAAUGAAUUAUGGCAGAUGUUUGAAAUGUGGUCUACCAGGGAAGCUCAUGAGAAACUCAGUGCCCAAGGUCUUUAUUGGGGGCCGGUCACAUAGGCACUGUCUGCUUAGCAUGUCCCAAGACUUCAGAGUCCCAGAAGGCAGGCAGGUGUUUAGCAUAAAACACACUGUUUGGACAAACACUUUAGGAAGCGUAAACCGCCCUUCUCAGGUAGGGAAUGGUGGCAAACCUCCCCAAAUCCAAGUUCCCAGAUGCAAGGUAAGGGCCAACAAGCCGGUCUUUCUAAGGAUGGCAGUCCCAGGCCUGCUACGUUAACUCUUUUCUGCACAGCAGUCAACAACAAAGCUUCAAAAUACAUAACCGAGUCAGACGGACCACAAAGGAUAAACAAACACCUCUACAAUUACAGUUGGAGACUACAACACUCUCUCAGUAAUAUAUAGAUCUAAUGAAGAGAAAACGAGCAAUAAGUCUAUGAAGUCAAUGACACCAUGAACAACCCGGAUGUAACUGACAAGUUGGGAACUCUCCACAUAACAACAGUGGAAUGUACAUUUAUUUCAAGUGCAUAUGGAAGUUUCACCAAGGUAGACCAUAUUCUAGGUCAUAAAACAAAUCUUACCAAAUGGAAAUAUAGUUGAAAUCAUACAAAGAAUGUUGUCUGACCAAAAGAGAAAAGCCACCGAGAAGUAAGAAAAAGUUAAGAGGAAAAUCUCC
ensembl:lncRNA